rnacentral:rRNA from 1 species
CCUACGGGAGGCAGCAGUGGGGGAUAUUGCACAAUGGCCGCAAGCCUGAUCCAGCGACGCCGCGUGAGCGAAGAAGGUUUUCGGUAUGUAAAGCUCUUUUAGCAGGGAAGAAAAUGACGGUACCUGACUAAGAAGCUCCGGCUAAAUACGUGCCAGCAGCCGCGGUAGUAUGUAUGGAGCAAGCGUUAUCCGGAUUUACGGGGUGUAAAGGGAGCGUAGGCGGCCAUGUAAGUCUGAUGGGAAAAUUUGGGGCUCAACCCCAAACGUGCAUGGGAAACCGGAGGGCUUGAGUGCCGGAGAGGCAAGCGGAAUUCCUAGGGUAGCGGUGAAAGGCGUAGAUAUUAGGAGGAACACCAGUGGCGAAGGCGGACUGCUGGACGGUAACUGACGCUGAGGCUCGAAAGCGUGGGGAGCAAACAGGAUUAGAUACCCGAGUAGUC